rnacentral:rRNA from 1 species
AAUAAACGUUGGCGGCGUGGAUUAGGCAUGCAAGUCGAGGGAGAACCCGCAAGGGGGACACCGGCGAACGGGGUAGGAUCACCUCGGUGACGUACCCUCCGGACGGGGAUAGCGACGGGAAACUGUCGGUAAUACCCGAUGAUCUGGCGAGCUUUUGAGGCUUGUCAGCAAAGGUGAGAUUCCACCGGAGGAGCGGCUGAGGCGCUAUUAGCUAGUUGGGGAGGUAACGGCUCACCAAGGCGACGAUGGCUAGGGGGGUGUGAGAGCAUGGCCCCCCACCACUGGCACUGAGACACUGGCCAGACACCUACGGGCGGCUGCAGUCGAGAAUCUUCGGCAAUGGGCGCAAGCCUGACCGAGCGACGCCGCGUGCGGGAUGAAGGUCUUCGGAUUGUAAACCGCUGUCGGAGGGGAUGAAGUGUACGGGGGCUAUCCCCUGUAUUUGACAGAGCCUCGGAGGAAGCACGGGCUAAGUUCGUGCCAGCAGCCGCGGUAAUGUGUG